GGGGACAAGGGGGCUGCCAACACCCAGCGACGGAGACGGGGACUCCGACAUGGCACUUGUUGGAGGGUCUCACGAAACUCAGGAACUGGGUCUCUUCUGAGGUAGACAGACCACAACUGCAGAGCAUCGUCAGACAGGAGAUAAAUACGUCCAUGUACAACACGCAGCAAAAUGAGGAAGCAGACCUGUGAGAUGUAAUAAACAACGUCCUUCUUGCCAUCCAUGCUGUAAACACAGCGGAGAUGUUCCUUGGCUGUUCCUGACACCCCCUUAGCACCUCCCAGCGUGAGCCAAACACUCUGGUGUUGUUUGCUCCCCUUGGUUAGGCUGCCUGCAAUUUCACCAAGAGAACACCAUUCUGGUUAAGAAGGAUUCUCUUUUAAACCAAAUGGAACUUCUGGGAGGCUCCAGGCUGUCAGCCAGUCACACCUCCAGGAGGAUUAGCAAGGCUGAUUCUCCUUCUCCUUCCCACCUGCUCGAGGUGAGGAAACUGAGGCUCGAUUAACUUGUCUAAGUCACCAAGCUGGGACAGAUGCCACCCCCAGCAGUCUUGCUCCAGAUACUUCUCUGCCUGCCACAGCAGGUGGUGGUGUUCCCAUCGAACAGCUGAGAAAACUGAGGGAGCAGUUCAUUCCCACCCUCUUCCUCAACCUCCCCUGCUCCCCCAGCCCUCCUUUCUUGAACCCCCUCCCACACUUAGCCACCAACCCCGGAGCUUAGCAUAUCUCAAACUUGUUCUCAUGGGACCAGAUAAAUCCCUGCCCAGGUCUGAGAGGCGCUGGCCUCAAGGCUAGGACACAGGACUCUGGUUAGGGUCUCAGCCAGACUCUGCAGAGAGUGAUCAGAAAGGACUGCAAGGCUGAGACUGUGCCAGAGGAGUGGGGAGGAGAAAGGCUCCUGAAGACCAGAUCUCUGCACGACCGUGGCGGCCCCUGCAGCUCUGCACAGCCCCUCCUCCCCUUUUCCUCAAAAGAAGCAAAUCCUCCAUGAAAGAUUUUUGGCUUCACAGAAGGACUUGGCCCCAUCUGAGAACACGUGAGCCAUCUCUAGAAGUGCUGAGUCCCCAUCAGUGGAGGCACUCGGCACCAGAGAAUGCCUUUCCCGGGAGGGGCACUGCUGGGCAGGUGGAAGGGCUCUCCCCUCCUCUCCCCUCCUCUCUUCUUCUCUGAUAUCUAAUGAUCACUACAAACUCAAC
ensembl:lncRNA novel transcript